rnacentral:rRNA from 1 species
GGACUACCGGGGUAUCUAAUCCUUUUUGCUCCCCACGCUUUCGUGCCUCAAUGUCAGAAACAGAAUAGUCAACUGCCUUCGCCAUUAUUGGUGUUCUUCUAUAUAUCGUCACAUUUUACCGCUCCACAUAGAGUUCCGUCAACCUCUCCUGCUCUCUAGUCUGGCAGUAUUAAUAGUUUCCACAAGGUUGGGCCUUGAUUUCCCACUACUAACUUUCCAGACCAUCUACGCACCCUUUACGCCCAAUAAUUCCGGAUAACGUUCGCCACCUACGUCUUACCGCGGCGGCUGGCAC